rnacentral:rRNA from 1 species
UACGGGGGGGCGAGCGUUGUUCGGAAUCACUGGGCGUAAGGGCGCGUAGGCGGCCCGCACAAGUCUGCGGUGAAAACCCCCGGCUUAACCGGGGGCCGGCCGUGGAAACUGUCGGGCUGGAGGCUGGGAGAGGGCAGCGGAAUUCCCGGUGUAGCGGUGAAAUGCGUAGAGAUCGGGAGGAACACCGGCGGCGAAGGCGACUGCCUGGACCAGUCCUGACGCUGAGGCGCGGAAAGCCAGGGGAGCAA